rnacentral:rRNA from 1 species
CACGUAGGGCGCAAGCGUUGUCCGGAAUUAUUGGCGUAAAGAGCUCGUAGGUGGUUUGUCGCGUUGUUCGUGAAAAACUCACAGCUCAACUGUGGGCGUGCGGGCGAUACGGGCAGACUUGAGUACUGCAGGGGAGACUGGAAUUCCUGGUGUAGCGGUGGAAUGCGCAGAUAUCAGGAAGAACACCCGUGGCUAAGGCGGCUCUCUAGUACGGUACUGACGCUGAGACGCGAAAGCGUGGGGAGCGAACAGG